CUAAGCAUUGAGGCAGUCUAAAUAGGCAAAUCCGUUUGGACAAUGCUAGGAUGCGAUGGGGAAGCCCUCCGGGGCGAAGUAGCUGAUUUCACACUGUCAAGAAAAGCUUCUAUCGAGUUUAAAGGCGCCCGUACCGUAAACCGACACAGGUGGGUGAGGAGAGUAUCCUAAGGCCAGCGAGAGAACUAUUGUUAAGGAACUCGGCAAAAUGACCCCGUAACUUAGGGAGAAGGGGUGCCUGUCUAUGACAGGCCGCAGAGAAUAGGCCCAAGCGACUGUUUACCAAAAACACAGGUUUCUGCUAAGUCGCAAGACGAUGUAUAGGAGCUGACGCCUGCCCGGUGCUGGAAGGUUAAGGGGAUCUGUUAGAGCAAUCGAAGCAGUGAACUUAAGCCCCAGUAAACGGCGGCCGUAACAAUAACGGUCCUAAGGUAGCGGAAUUCCUUGUCGGGUAAGUUCCGACCCGCACGAAAGGCGUAACGAUUUGGGCACUGUCUCAACAAUAGACUCGGUGAAAUUGUAAUCCCGGUGAAGAUGCCGGGUACCUGCGACAGGACGGAAAGACCCCAUGGAGCUUUACUGUAGCUUGACGUUGGGUCUAGGUACUACAUGUACAGGAUAGGUGGGAGACUAUGAAGCAUGGACGCCAGUCUGUGUGGAGUCAUCCUUGGGAUACCACCCUUGUAGUACUGGGAUCCUAACCAUAGGCCUUGUAUCAGGUCUUGGAACACCGUCAGGUGGGCAGUCUGACUGGGGCGGUCGCCUCCUAAAAAGUAACGGAGGCGCUCAAAGGUUUCCUCAGCACGGUCGGAAAUCGUGCGAAGAGUGUAAAGGCAAAAGGAAGCUUGAUUGCAAGACAUACAGGUCGAGCAAGGACGAAAGUCGGACUUAGUGAUCCGGUGGUACCGCAUGGAAGGGCCAUCGCUCAACGGAUAAAAGCUACCCUGGGGAUAACAGGCUUAUCUCCCCCAAGAGUCCACAUCGACGGGGAGGUUUGGCACCUCGAUGUCGGCUCAUCACAUCCUGGGGCUGUAGUAGGUCCCAAGGGUUGGGCUGUUCGCCCAUUAAAGUGGUACGCGAGCUGGGUUCAGAACGUCGUGAGACAGUUCGGUCCCUAUCCGUCGCAGGCGUAGGAAAUUUGAGAAGACCUGUCCUUAGUACGAGAGGACCGGGAUGGACGUACCUCUGGUGUACCAGUUGUUCUGCCAAGGGCAUUGCUGGGUAGCUAUGUACGGAAUGGAUAAGCGCUGAAAGCAUCUAAGCGCGAAGCCAACUUCAAGAUAAGAUUUCCCACCGUAAGGGUAAGACCCCAGGAAGACUACCUGGUUGAUAGGUCGAAGGUGUAAGUGCAGUAAUGUAUUUAGCUUAUCGAUACUAAUAGGUCGAGGACUUG
rnacentral:rRNA from 1 species